UGGGGAAUCUUCCGCAAUGGACGAAAGUCUGACGGAGCAACGCCGCGUGAGUGAAGAAGGUUUUCGGAUCGUAAAAACUCUGUCUUUUGGGGCGAACGUGAGUAUGGUGAACAAUCAUAGUCAGUGACGGUACCAAAGGAGGAAGCCACGGCUAACCACGUGCCAGCAGCCGCGGUAAUACGUAGGUGGCAAGCGUUGUCCGGAAUUAUUGGGCGUAAAGAGCGCGUAGGCGGGAUAGUCAGUCUGUUGUAAAGUGCGGGGCUCAACCCCGUGAUGGCAAUGGAAACAGCUAUUCUUGAGUGCAGGAGAGGAAAGUGGAAUUCCCAGUGUAGCGGUGAAAUGCGUAGAUAUUGGGAGGAACACCAGUGGCGAAGGCGACUUUCUGGACUGUGUCUGACGCUGAGGCGCGAAAGCCAGGGGAGCGAACGGGAUUAGAUACCCCGGUAGUCCUGGCCGUAAACGAUGGGUACUAGGUGUGGGAGGUAUCGACCCCUUCCGUGCCGGAGUUAACGCAAUAAGUACCCCCGCCUGGGGAGUACGGUCGCAAGACUGAAACUUAAUGAAUUGACGGGGUCAUAGCUGUUUCCUG
rnacentral:rRNA from 1 species